rnacentral:rRNA from 1 species
GGUUGACCUCGGAUCCAGGA